rnacentral:rRNA from 1 species
CCUACGGGAGGCUGCAGUGGGGAAUAUUGCACAAUGGGGGAAACCCUGAUGCAGCGACGCCGCGUGAGUGAAGAAGUAUUUCGGUAUGUAAAGCUCUAUCAGCAGGGAAGAAAAUGACGGUACCUGAUUAAGAAGCACCGGCUAACUACGUGCCAGCAGCCGCGGUAAUACGUAGGGGGCAAGCGUUAUCCGGAUUUACGGGGUGUAAAGGGAGCGUAGACGGCAGCACAAGUCUGGAGUGAAAUGCCGGGGCUUAACCCCGGAACUGCGUUGGAAACUGUGCAGCUAGAGUGCAGGAGAGGUGAGUGGAAUUCCUAGUGUAGCGGUGAAAUGCGUAGAUAUUAGGAGGAACACCAGUGGCGAAGGCGGCUUACUGGACUGUAACUGACGUUGAGGCUCGAAAGCGUGGGGAGCGAACAGGAUUAGAUACCCCUGUAGUC